rnacentral:lncRNA from 1 species
CAUUACAACAGGUUUUCAAAAUUUCUUUUUUACAAGUCACCUCAUUCAUCUCAGGUCUUAGGAGAUGCAGCCUGGAGUCCUUGCAACAUCAGUCAUAUGCUGCAGRAAUUCCCCAAGCUGGACUGAAAGUCAUAUUGCAGCCACUUGACAAGGGAGUGUUUUUGCUGCUGCUGGGCCAGCUCUGUGGAGGUUCCUGUGCAGCAUCUCUCCGUGCACUGUCCAAGAGCCUUCUGCAUGCACUGUCAUGUAUUCAAGAGCAACAGCUUCCUGGCCUGGAUGGGAAUCGGACAUCAAGAUGAAACACGUCAUCCUGCACCAUCAAACCUCCAAGCUGAAGAAAAGUCUGAGAAUGACCUAUCCAGGGCUUCCUCCUGCCCCCAGGAAGAAAGGAUCCUCCAGCUUGYGCAGGAGCAGACUGCAUGAACCUGGCAAGAGGAGCAGGCUCCAGAAAUGGGACUAA